AUAUCCUAACCAUUUGUUAUUAGUCAAGCACGUAAUGACAUAAAUGAAUGAUCUGUUGGUUUUGUCAAAUAAUGAAAUUUGAUUCUUAGCAGAUCCGGGAGAUUUGUUUAACCAAGGGAUAUCAAAUAUAUAAUCGCGUUAUAUAUGUGCAAUAAACAGUUGUUUAGUACACUGUGGAACAGAUCUGUACUGUAUUUAUGCCAUCAGAGACCAGAGAGGCCACACUUAGAUGGGGUUUUCUAAUGAGAAGAGAUUCUCUUGUCUAAGCGAAAUUCGGAUUCGCAAUGGAAAGCAUACAAUCGUUUUCAUAAUUUUAGCCAUACUAGAAUCUUCUCUUUAAAAAUAGGGUUUUUGCACUAGAUGACUAUGCUACUUUAUUUAAUUAAGGAAACGGACAUGAGCCUGUUCACUUUCUCUUAAUAUCGAAAAUAUCCCUAUUUUCGUAAUAUAUUUUUCAUACAGGCUCCUAAAUUAAUUAUUGUUUUUUUUCCUGUAACGUAAGUUAACUCAACAUCUCUUGGCUAUCUCUCUCUUUAUCUUUCUUUUUCUCCCUCUUCCUCAUUUGAUCAUUGCUUCUUCCCUAAACAUAUAAUUGAUAAUUUUAUCUCUCUCUCACUCACUGAUUUUGUUUGUUUUGGGAUUGGAGGAGGCAAAGCGUGCGUCCAUGGAGAUGAGAGACAUAUACAUAUUGGUUGUCGUGAGCAAGAAGAGACGUCUCGAGCUCGCAUCCGUCUCGACCCAUCGUCACCGGUCUCGAGCUUGCCCACGUCACCACCGGUCUCGAGCUUGCCCCUGUCACCACCGGUCUCAAACUCGUCCCCGUCCUCAUCGGUAUCUGGUACUGGAGAUGGAGACAGAACAGAGGAAGACAUCGAGAAAGAGAGGCAAAGGAGGAAGGAGGAGGCGGCAGCAAAGAGAUUAGGUUUAGUUUAAUUAGGUUUAGGUUAAUUAUGUUUUGGUUUAUUAGCUGAGCAGGGCGAUUUCAGAGCUUCCGCGGUGGAUUGCGUGGAGGAGAGCUCCGACUUUGAGCGUGACGAAGAUUGAUAAAUAAUAAGAUGUUUUAUGAGCCUCAUGUUUUACAAUACGUAAAUUGAUCUAUUUUUUUAUCA